GAAUUUUUUGAAAAAUUUGUAUGUUGAUUUAUCGAUGAGGAUCUGAUUAAACUAUGGGCCUGAUGUGUAAAAUUUGGAUUUCUACAGUUUAAAUGAUGCUGAUGAUAAAAAAUAGUGAUACAAGGCUGAUGAUGAUCUUGUUAUUGUUUUUGUUGCUAUUGAGUUUUCCCUUGAAAACAAUUUCCAAUUGUAAACAAGGAGGAUUGUCUAUUCAACUAAAUUAAAGGCUUCAAGGUAUCCCAUUUAAUGAUGAUUCCAGUUGAAAAAUCAACUUUAUUAAAUGAUUUUUGUAAUAAUAAGUAACUAGAUUGUUAACAUACAUCUAAACCUAUUUAUUACUUUCUUUUGUUGCCAUUUUAAGGAUAUUAUUGGUGUUGAUUACAAGGAUAAUGAUAAUCCAUGAUAAGGAUGGUGUUAUAAUGGUGUAAUCCCCUCAAUUGAGAUCUAGUAAAGCAAAAGAAAGUGGAUGAUCAAAGGUUGUUGGAUGAAGAUGAGGAUGAAAAAAACAGCAUGAGAAACAUGGGCAAGUCUUAUAGCUGAGCUUCCAUUUUUUCCUCUUCUUCUACAAAAAUACUCAAAGUUCUGAUAUUAGACAAUAACAAUGGUGUUGGCAGAAUCGGAGAGAGAGAGAGAGAGAGAGAACAAGCUGAUAAUAAGAUGUUCUCAAAGAAGGAGUUGUGAAAUGUUUAUCUGAUCACACAUUAUAUAAAUUGUGUUUCCAUAACCUAUCAUUAUAGAUUAUCAAUCAGCGAGAGAUGGUAAGCAAUCGAGAAGGCAAAAUGAUGAUCAUGUUGAUACUGAUUCCUGAUGACGAUAAUGAUGAUAAUUAUACAUUUGAAUUGUGCAAGAGUUAAAAAGAGGUAACACUUUGAUUGUUAUUGCUCACCAUGGACUCAGAAUCAAUCUUAACUGUAACAAUCAGGAUACUUACGAUAACAAAUUUCCAUGAUGAUUCCAUCUCUGAUUCAAUUUUUGUUAUUCUUCUCAUUUUAUCAACUAUCUAUUAUUGAUUUCUCUCUAGGGUAUUCAAACUUAUUCAAAUUGUUUUUUUCCAUAAUUUGAAUAACCAAAUCUCCUCGAUGAUUAACUUGGAAACAUUAAUUUCCAUGCAGAGUCAAAUUAUCGUCUAAUGAUUUAUGAAUUAGUUAGUUACUCCUAGAUGUUCAAGCACGUUAAUAUUACAUAUUGAUGAGAGGGAAAAAGAUUAAGUGAAAAGCAAGGUUGGUUAAUCGUUUUGAGAUAACACUCAGAAGCAUGAAACAUCACCCAUGUAACCGGCUUCUCAUCACCUUAACUUGAAUAUAUUUACACCAAAGAGUGUAAAUAUUAUAUUCCCUUAUACAUACGAAAAGGGCGGUUAAUAUCUCUCUCUCUCUCUCUCUCAGGUAUUAAGAAUUGACUAUUUAAAAUUUUACCUUUUUUCAUCACCAUCACCAUUAUUUAUCAUUAUCUUUACCUUGAUCAUCAUCAUUAUGAUAAUAAUCAACAUCAUCUCACUUACCUUUUCCCUCCUUAUUACUUUGAGAGUGAGAAUCAAGAGGGAUGAGAUUAAGUGGGACCGCUUUUAUAAUUUUUUGAAAUUGAACAAAAAAUUAUUGCUAAUACAUUGUAGUGAGAGUGAGUGAGUAGAGAGAGAGAGAGAGAGAGGCUAUCAUGUAUUAUGUAGCAUGAUGAAACUAAAUCAUUACCAUUUGUAGUGUUCAGGUAACUUGUAAUUACAGGUACAACAAUCUUAUUGCUUGAUAGCGUUUUUCAUUUUGUUGUUUUUCAAUGUUAAUAUUACAAAGGUUAUCUAAAGAGGGAAAGGUGAAUGUGAAGAUGAAAUUGAUGAUGAAGAUAAAGGUGAAAGUGAUGAUGAUGAAAUUGUUGACCGUGGGCAUUUAACUACCAUGAUAAUCGUCAAUGUUGAUAUAAAGUUUCUCUCUCUCUCUCUCUUUCUCUGUUGUUUCAAAUAUCUUCUUAUGGAAUUGAUUCCAUGGCGAUUUUUAAUCUUUUUCAUUCAUUUUCUAUUAUUUUUUAGAUUAAUUAACUUUGGUGGUGUUGGUGAAAUGAGAAGACAAUGAGAGCGCUAAGGAAAAUGGAUUUAGUUAAUUACUGGAAAAUAAGCUGAUUGAUAAAGUGAAUGCUAUGUUGAUUUCGUGCAUUAAUUGUUGGCUUUCAAAGUGUAAAUUAUCAACAAUCAUGAAAACAUAAUCUAAAUUCAUCAAGUUUAACUAGACUAUAUUUAUAAUGAUAAUGGAUCAUUUGAUUGUCAUCAUCAUCAUUACAUGAUGAUUAUAAUCAACAUGAAUGAUAAACUCUUUGAAUGUUUGUUUUACUUUUAAAUCAUUAAGAUUUUCAAAUGUUAUCAUUAUUUUUUUUGCUUUAGCUCAACCCUUUACAUUAUAAUUAUAUUAAUCAUUAACAUCUAGAGUGACAAACUAAUCUGUACAAUUAAUGAUGAUGAUAAUUAUUAUAAUUGUAUUACAAAUGUAAAAGUUUCUCAUCUUCUUGUAUCAUUAACACUGAAUCAUAUCCUUGUUAGUGGGGUGGUUAACAUGUUGAAAUGUUUUUCUCUACACAAAACAAACUUACCUGUGAGAACGUGUUGACAACAACACUAUCAACGACCGGAUGAACGUCAACUUAUUAUCGCCUUACCUUAAAUGUUAUUUCAUUUCAGUUCUCUCACUUCAUAUUCAUAUUUAAUAAGCUUCUUUGCCCUAAAGAAAUAAUAUUUUUUUCUCUUCUAAAUUGUAAUUUUUUCUUUCCUCCUCUGUCUAUCUGUCUGUUUCUAUUUCUAUCUCUCUGCCUCUCUCCUUGUUAACAUAAUGACUACAGGGUAUAUCCAAGAUGAUGAGGAUCAUCAUCAAGGUGGAUUGUGAUGUAGGGGCAAUCGGAAAGGUGACAAGGUUAAGGAUGAGGCACCUACGGAGACACAGUAAACAUGGUGGUUAACACUCAUAGGCUGUGAAAAUGAAUCAACAUAAAUAUAUAUAAUAAAGGAAGACAAUGACAAUGAUGAGGAUGAUGAUGGUGAUGGUGAUAAGGAUGAAGAUGAAGAUGAAGAUGCGUUCACAAGUUAAAUGGAUAAUCUUUUCAUUAUAAUAAUAUCAAAGAGGGAGACAUAUAUUUAAUUAUUGUUAACCAUUUUAACUCGAUUGUUUUUCUUGUACUUUCACUCUUUGUUUUUGUUUAAACUUACACACAAAAAUUUAAAGAUAUAAUAACAAUUAACUUUACAAUUGUAAUUACAAUUAACCGUUGAUAACAUUUAUCAUGUAAUUACUGUCAACUUUUCAACUUUAUUCU